rnacentral:rRNA from 1 species
UACGGGGGGGGCAAGCGUUGUUCGGAAUUACUGGGCGUAAAGGGCUCGUAGGCGGCCAACUAAGUCAGACGUGAAAUCCCUCGGCUUAACCGGGGAACUGCGUCUGAUACUGGAUGGCUUGAGUUUGGGAGAGGGAUGCGGAAUUCCAGGUGUAGCGGUGAAAUGCGUAGAUAUCUGGAGGAACACCGGUGGUGUAGACGGCUUACUGGACCACGACUGACACUGAGGCACGAAAGCGUGGGUAGCAAACAGG